rnacentral:lncRNA from 13 species
UCAAUAAACUUUCAUGUGGAUUCACCUGGUCAGUCUAUGUCAUGGAAAGAGCAAGUUCCUAAUGUUUUUGUUCACUCAGUGUACACUGUCAUGAAGUUGGCCCGGGGGUACGUUUAUGACAGUCAUGCUACUGAUGUUACAUUUGCAAACACCUUGGUUAACAUAGAGAUUCUGGGAACAUCAGAAUGUGGGGGGAAAUUAUCUAUAUUCUGGUAAUCCGACCAAUUGAACAUAUGUGGUGGUACUUAAUGAAUAUGAUGUCAGUUCGGUUGUCAUCUGAGACAUUCUCAUCAAUGAUAAGAUGACAUAAACUCUACAGUGGAAAGUCUACACAUCAGAGUUAUCGGAUUCACAUGGAAUUGUUGUUCAAUCUAAAUGUUUGAAUAUGAAAUUAUUUGUGAUGGGAUGAAAUGUGAUUUUAGCUUCUAAAAUAUGAGAUUUGGGUUUUCAUGAGUGAAUUAGGCCCGACUCAGUGGCCCGCCCACGUGAAGAGACAUAGGUUGUAAACUAUGAAACACACCCCUUUUCUCCCUUCCUAUAUAAAGCCUUGAUGACAAUAUAACCUCAUGUUCUGAGGAUGUGAGGACGACGGUCUGAUGUCAGAAUGGUUCAGAUAAUAACUACAGAACAAAGCCAACAUCAGCGUGAGCUUUGGUUGCGAAUGGUAUGAACUUUGAACUCUUAUUCACUACAGAAGUGAUACCUCCUAGCCGUUGAGUUAGCAACAGCAGCUGCAAACGCAGGUUAGGAAGGAACAGACAGAGUAUCCCGUCUACCACACAACGAUGUUACUACAACGUAUCCAAUUUACCAGCAGAGACAUUCUUCAAAGGACAAAGGACUCGGUUGGGCAACACGGCCUUCCAUCUACCACCAACCUACUGAAGCGCAGCUCAGAGUAAAUAUUUAUUGCAUUUUCCUUUUCCAAAUGGUCGGUAAUUUAGAAUGCAUAAGAUAUUGUAUUUACGAUAGCACAGCUUCGCCCUUUGUUCCUCAGUCUUCCCGCUCUUUCACUCAAACCCAGACCCUUUUCUUUUGUGUAACAAGCUGUCAUAUCUGUUCUGCCCGCUAGGGACGUUUUCCUUUAUGACGUAAUUUGUAAUCAAGUUAUGAUUAAUUAUGUGUAUGUGUAAUUCUGUGUGAUUAGUUAGGUAUUUAGUAAAAAGUUUUAGUUUUAGUUUUAGUUUUAGUUUUGUAUUGCUGAUUCAACUUGUUAGCCAGGGUUUGUGCAGAUAACCAAGAAUUUACAACUUUCAGAUGAGACUGAAUUAAGGUGACGAUUAAUAUUGACUGCUAUUGAUGUAAAAUAUUACUAGGUCUUUAAGAGUUUAUUCGGAAGAUAACAGCUCUAUAAAUAUUAUUUUGUGGUGCCCGGACUCUCUAGUUAAUUACAUUUACAUGAUUAGCUCAAUCAGGUAAUAUUAAUUACAGAGAAAUUAUUUUAUAGAAUAGCAUGUCAUAUCACUUCAUCCGGCAUAGCCAAAGACACGACAACACUCUAAAAAGAAAAGGUUCCUGGAGUAUUAUUUAGGGGUUCUUCAAAUAUAAGUUCGCCGAAGAACCCCUUUUAAUGGAUUGUCAAAUAACUUUUUGAAAAACCUUUUGGGGUUCAUUUUUUAUCUACCCCCCUACCCUAUGAAUAUUAUUAAUAUUAUGCAUAACAAGAACAACAAUAACACAAUAGUUUAGUUGUCAGUGUUUAUUAUGAUUUUAGUGGCAAACAGAAUAAAACAUGUCAAUACGAGGUAAACUCCCAUCAGAGCCUCAAGUCCAAUGGGUAUAUCCUCUGGCGUGUUGAUGUUAAUGUGUUGAUGUUCUCCGUAUGCACAGCCAGAAUGAUUUUGCAGUGCAUGGUGAUUGAACAGGUUUCCUGUUAUAUUCAUCAGAGGUGUAGGGAGGGUGAAGUCCGUGAGUCCCAAAAAAUAGUAAUUAUACAGAUGAUUAACAAAACAUGCACAUGACAGUAUUCAUACCUUGGAUUUUGAUCAGAUUUUGCUCAGAUACCUGCAGACAGAAGUGAGCAGUUCAGUCAUCUGCACCCAAUACAGCUAUCCAUUGGAAUGUGUCCAUUUCCUGUUUUAGAAAGAUAUGCACAAAUAUCAUCCUAAAACAAUAUUCAUGUAGAUCACGAGGAGAUCAUUACAUUUUCAGUUAAGUGCCUGCACCUGCUGUCCUUUCAAAUUAAAAUCCAAAUGUUUAAGUUGGGCAGUUAGGUUCCUGCAAGAACCUCCAACAACUAAGGAGGUUCCUCGAUGAACCCCACCUCCUAUGGGGUUCUUGGAAUAAUAUUUUUGGGGUAAUUUUCAGUGCCAAGAACCCUACGUUUUUUGAGGAUCUUAGAAGAACCCUUGUUGAACCCCUAUUAUUUUGUGUAUAAUAACCUGCUAGGCAGGGUAAGAGUCAGUGACCUCGAGCUCACAGAGACAGACAAGGUAUUUGUUUUCUCAUCUCUCCCACUCAGACUGACAGGACACGGGCAUGUAUCUAACUCACUCUAUUAGCGCGUCCCCACAUGGCCCGUCCUAGACAAUCAUUCGUUUAUUAUUGUCCUAGUCUAAAGAUAAAGGUCAUGUCGGCUGGAACAGUACGCCGCGCGCUAUUGAUUUUCGAUCUAGAUGGUGCUAAUGAACCUCUCUAGCUCUGCGAAGGCCUGUACUGCGCCGUGCGCAUGCGUCAAGAGGAGGUUUCUCAUUUCGCUGGCUGUUCCAUAGUCAGUCCCCGCAGCCCACUGUAGGCAAUACAGUCGCUACCUGCCGGUCUAGUGGAACGGAUAUGGCUCCCCACUCACCCCGGCUUUUUCCCAGACCCAAGCGGCUU